rnacentral:rRNA from 1 species
UACGGAGGGUCCAAGCGUUGUCCGGAUUUAUUGGGUGUAAAGGGUGUGUAGGCGGGCUUGUCAGUCAGAGGUGAAAUCCUACGGCUCAACCGUAGAACUGCCUUUGAUACUGCAGGUCUUGAGUCCUGGAGAGGUUGUUAGAAUUCGUGGUGUAGCGGUGAAAUGCGUAGAUAUCACGAGGAAUACCGGUUACGAAGGUUGACAACUGGACGGGUACUGACGCUGAGGCACGAAAGCGUGGGGAGCAAACAGGAUUAGAUACCCCCGUA